AGGAAAUUAUAGCAUGUUCCUCAGCUGCUUCCGAGUAACAUAGCUUAUUUCUCCAGCAAGAAGAUCUGGGAAAGCUGCUGAGGGCUUAUAUGGCCACUGAAAGGAAUGCAGUCCUGGCUGAGUACUUUUUCCAGUGAAGAAAUGUUAAUUUGUUCCAUGCCAUCCCCAUUUUUUGUGCACCUAUGUUUAAAAUCAGCUUUCACUGAUCACCCCAGUAUUCCUCUUCAGAAUAUCUCAAAUGUCAGAAAUAAGAGAUAAUAGAAAUAAUGCACAUUAUCAGACCAACUUGAAAAGCACUAAGCACCAUUUCACACCAGG
rnacentral:lncRNA from 1 species